rnacentral:rRNA from 1 species
GACGAACGCUGGCGGCGUGCUUAACACAUGCAAGUCGUACGGUAAGGCCCUUUCGGGGGUACACGAGUGGCGAACGGGUGAGUAACACGUGAGUAACCUGCCCACAACUUUGGGAUAACGCUAGGAAACUGGUGCUAAUACUGGAUAUGUGCUCCUGCUGCAUGGUGGGGGUUGGAAAGCUCCGGCGGGUGUGGAUGGACGCGCGGCCUGUCCGCUUGUUGGUUGGGUAGUGGCCUACCAAGGCGGCGGCGGGUAGCCGGCCUGAGGGGGUGACCGGCCACAUUGGGACUGAGAUACGGCCCAGACUCCUACGGGGGGCAGCAGUGGGGAAUAUUGCACAAUGGGCGCGAGCCUGAUGCAGCAACGCCGCGUGCGGGAUGACGGCCUUCGGGUUGGAAACCGCUUUCAGCAGGGACGAAGCUUUUUGUGACGGUACCUGCAGAAGAAGCACCGGCUAACUACGUG